GACGAACGCUGGCGGCGUGCCUAAUACAUGCAAGUAGAACGCUGAAGAGAGGAGCUUGCUCUUCUUGGAUGAGUUGCGAACGGGUGAGUAACGCGUAGGUAACCUGCCUUGUAGCGGGGGAUAACUAUUGGAAACGAUAGCUAAUACCGCAUAACAAUGGAUGACACAUGUCAUUUAUUUGAAAGGGGCAAUUGCUCCACUACAAGAUGGACCUGCGUUGUAUUAGCUAGUAGGUGAGGUAAUGGCUCACCUAGGCGACGAUACAUAGCCGACCUGAGAGGGUGAUCGGCCACACUGGGACUGAGACACGGCCCAGACUCCUACGGGAGGCAGCAGUAGGGAAUCUUCGGCAAUGGGGGCAACCCUGACCGAGCAACGCCGCGUGAGUGAAGAAGGUUUUCGGAUCGUAAAGCUCUGUUGUAAGUCAAGAACGGGUGUGAGAGUGGAAAGUUCACACUGUGACGGUAGCUUACCAGAAAGGGACGGCUAACUACGUGCCAGCAGCCGCGGUAAUACGUAGGUCCCGAGCGUUGUCCGGAUUUAUUGGGCGUAAAGCGAGCGCAGGCGGUUUGAUAAGUCUGAAGUUAAAGGCUGUGGCUCAACCAUAGUUCGCUUUGGAAACUGUCAAACUUGAGUGCAGAAGGGGAGAGUGGAAUUCCAUGUGUAGCGGUGAAAUGCGUAGAUAUAUGGAGGAACACCGGUGGCGAAAGCGGCUCUCUGGUCUGUAACUGACGCUGAGGCUCGAAAGCGUGGGGAGCGAACAGGAUUAGAUACCCUGGUAGUCCACGCCGUAAACGAUGAGUGCUAGGUGUUGGAUCCUUUCCGGGAUUCAGUGCCGCAGCUAACGCAUUAAGCACUCCGCCUGGGGAGUACGACCGCAAGGUUGAAACUCAAAGGAAUUGACGGGGGCCCGCACAAGCGGUGGAGCAUGUGGUUUAAUUCGAAGCAACGCGAAGAACCUUACCAGGUCUUGACAUCCCGAUGCUAUUUCUAGAGAUAGAAAGUUACUUCGGUACAUCGGUGACAGGUGGUGCAUGGUUGUCGUCAGCUCGUGUCGUGAGAUGUUGGGUUAAGUCCCGCAACGAGCGCAACCCCUAUUGUUAGUUGCCAUCAUUCGGUUGGGCACUCUAGCGAGACUGCCGGUAAUAAACCGGAGGAAGGUGGGGAUGACGUCAAAUCAUCAUGCCCCUUAUGACCUGGGCUACACACGUGCUACAAUGGUUGGUACAACGAGUUGCGAGUCGGUGACGGCGAGCUAAUCUCUUAAAGCCAAUCUCGGUUCGGAUUGUAGGCUGCAACUCGCCUACAUGAAGUCGGAAUCGCUAGUAAUCGCGGAUCAGCACGCCGCGGUGAAUACGUUCCCGGGCCU
rnacentral:rRNA from 1 species